rnacentral:rRNA from 1 species
UACGUAGGUGGCGAGCGUUGUCCGGAUUUACUGGGCGUAAAGGGCGUGCAGGCGGUUUGUUAAGUGCAGGGUGAAAGCUCCCGGCUCAACUGGGAGAGGUCCUUGCAUACUGGCGAACUCGAGGGAGGCAGAGGAAAGUGGAAUUCCCGGUGUAGUGGUGAUAUGCGUAGAUAUUGGGAGGAACACCAGUGGCGAAGGCGGCGACCUGGACGGACAUUGACGCUGAGACGCGAAAGCGUGGGGAGCAAACAGG